GCCAGAGCUUGGUCGGACCUGGACCUGAAGCCCAGGACACCUGAGGCUGGCCUCUCACCUACCCGGAGAAGCCCCAACAGGCUCCCUGCACUCCCUGCCUGUGGCAAACUGCUCCCCAGGGUCACCUCUGACCUGGAUCCUUCCCGAGUGCUUGGCCACUGCCCAGGGCAGAACAGACAUCCAACCUGUACCUGGAAGGCCCGCCCCGGAAGAGCAGCUGACCAGAACAAAUCAAACACCUCGUGAUAAGG